rfam:Schistosoma rodhaini strain Burundi genome assembly, scaffold: SROB_scaffold0015127
AGCCUUCUGUAUCUGUACUGAGAUUUCUUCACACACCAGACCACAAGGGUUGAUGAGACUCCCAAGAUAGGUGAAGCG